rnacentral:rRNA from 1 species
AACGAGCGCUGGCGGCAUGCCUAACACAUGCAAGUCGAACGAGACCUUCGGGUCUAGUGGCGCACGGGUGCGUAACGCGUGGGAACCUGCCCUUAGGUUCGGACUAACUCCCCGAAAGGGGUGCUAAUACCGGAUAAUGUCUUCGGACCAAAGAUUUAUCGCCUUUGGAUGGGCCCGCGUUGGAUUAGCUAGUUGGUAGGGUAAAAGCCUACCAAGGCGACGAUCCAUAGCUGGUCUGAGAGGAUGAUCAGCCACACUGGGACUGAGACACGGCCCAGACUCCUACGGGAGGCAGCAGUGGGGAAUAUUGGACAAUGGGCGAAAGCCUGAUCCAGCAAUGCCGCGUGAGUGAUGAAGGCCUUAGGGUUGUAAAGCUCUUUUACCCGGGAUGAUAAUGACAGUACCGGGAGAAUAAGCUCCGGCUAACUCCGUG